ncrna:unclassified sequences Rhodo-rpoB RNA
GUGUCGAGAGGCCGUCAUUGGGACGACGGCCAAGAAUGGACCGUAAUCUGUUAUCUCGGAGGGAUGUGGUGCUGGAACCCCGACAGCAGGCACA